AUCAUUUCUUGGCCUUUUGGCUAUGAUCAAGUGUAGUAUCUGUUCUCGCUAGUUUAAUAUAUGACACAUCCUCUAUUGGAGGACACUGUAUUAAAUGGACUUUUGGAACAGUGAGUUAGAAUAGGAGCUUGCUCUGUCCACUCCACACAUUGACUUGGUAUUGUAGUACUUCUGGGAAUGGUGUACCCCUU